GCAGCGUGUCCCGUGAUGAGUUGAUACUGGGGUUUGGUGCACAGACCUGUUAUAAUUUGCUGCACAGGGUUGGGUGGCUGCAGGUUCAGACCGGGGCUGGGAUACGGUGGAUAUGGAGAUAGGUUGUUUACACUGGAGGAGGAAACAAAAAAGAAGAUGAGGCUCACACUUCCUGUUCUAUCAGAGCUGUUGUGUGCGUUUCAAAUCUUAAAACCGAAUAAUACAAUACGUAUGACUUUUCCUUCCCACAGGCUGAUACGGAGACACGGAGAACCCGGGAGUGGGACGUACCUCUGGGAUGAACGUUAAGAAUCAGGUUAUUCACUGUUACACAGCUGGAGUUCGAUUCCCAAAUCAAAUCCAACCUCAUCAACGAAAACCCCACGGUGCUUUCACACCUGUUGGCUGAUUCCAGGUCAGAGCACACAUCUGAGGCAUUGUCAGACCGUGUCUUCAUGGAGCUCGCUUUACGCACAGGGGCACUGUCAUGCUGGAACAGGUCUGGGCCUCUUAACUCCAGUAAAGGGCAAUUCUAAAUGCUACACAAUACAAAGAAAUUCUAGAGCAUUGUCUGCUUCCAGGUUUGGGUAGGUCCACAUACGGGUGUGAAUGUCACAUUUCCACAUAAUUUAUCCAUCACAUGGGUGGAGUGGGUGGAGUGGGCGGAGUGGGCGGAGUAAAGAUAACGUGAGAAGCAGCAGCUUUUAAAUACCUGUGAUUUGCAGGUUGAGGACAGCAGGUGGACUUACAGUCUGAAUGUGCGUGUUGACAGGGAACACCCUAAAUGUCAGAGAGAGAGAGAGAGAGAGAGACAGAGAGAGAGAGAGAGAGAGAGAAUGAGUUGAAGAUGCAUAGUUGUUAGAUUGAUGCCAGCGAAAGUGAAAGAAUUUUAACACGAGAUUCCUGAGCCGUAACAAACCAACCCCAACCCGGAACCAUUGCUGGGUGAGGGGUGAAGGCUCCAUUUUGUACCUCUCUGUAUGUUCCAGAUGGCUCCGAAUGGCAGGGGUGUUGAUGAUUAGGAGAGGGCAGAUGAGUACAGGGACUUCCCUAUGUACCAACGAAUCAGAGAGAGAGAGAGAGAGGGAGAGAGAGAGAGAGAGACAGAGAGAGAGAGAGAGAGAGAGAGAGAGAGAGAGAGGGAGAGAGAGACAGAGAGAGAGAGAGAGAGGGAGGGAGAGAGACAGAGAGAGAGAGAGAGAGGGUUUAGAAGCAUUGCAGACGUCUCUAGUUUUAUUGUCAGAAGUCUGGGAAGGAAUAGGAAUGUUGUGUGAGAACCUUGCAAUCCCCUUCACUUCUGUAGUGUGUGUGAGGAGCUGGAGCGUAGUUGAAGGCUUUUUGGUCUGAAAUGGUGGAAUCAAACCCCAGUGGUGGGCCAGAAUACGUACGCAUGGACAUCUUCUCUGUGGGCAAAGAACUGCAGAACAGUAGAAAAAGAUCAUUCCUUCCUUCCUUCCUUCCUCACUAGACCACUUCUGCUAGCAAUCUUCAAGUGUGUGCCAUGUCAGGAAGAUGCAUCGUAGAACACAUACCUUUGGCGUUGAGGACCUGGAGGGUGCAGGUGAGUAUAGGGACUACCCUACAUCCCAAAGAGAGACAGAUAGACGCAGAGAAAGGCAGAGAGAGAGGUGGGGGGUUAAGAAGCAUUUGACUUGACUGGCAGCACAAAUCUGCAGAAAGGAACGAGAAGAUCAGGGUGAACUUUAUAAACUCCAUUCAUUGGGCUUUACCUCCGGCGGGAUGUGGUGUGUCUGAGGAGAUGGAUAGGGUGUGAAGUUACUGCUGGACCAAGAGUCCAGAGGUGGGCCAGGAUAUGGUGGAUCAGGGAUGUUCUCCAUGGGCAAAGGACUGGAGCAGAAAAAAGAAGAGGAGACUCAGUUAGAAUCUUCCUUCCUUCCUUCUUUAGUAAUUUUGUCUCUUACUUUGUUAUGCAUCUGUCUGACACGACGCCAUCCUGAUCAGCCCGUCUGGUGUCAUUGUGUUUCUCGGAAUUGUGUUUUUAUUAUAAUAUUACAGUGGUGGCUCGAGUUAUGCAACCCAAACCACUGCUGGUAUGACUGUGCCAGGACCAAGGCUCGCCAAAAUCUAGUCCAGACCGAGUCGUAAUGGAGUCAAGGUCAAGAUCAAGCCUUUAUUUCAGCUUUAAUAUAUCCGCCACAUCAAACGAGCUAAUUCUCUUGAGAACGACUCCUGAAUAAUCCUCCAGAAUCAACCUGGACAAUACAUUUAGGGAUAUCAUUAGGUUACUACUAGAACACACCGUUUUUUUUUUUUUAGAACCUCACGGUCAAGGCCGAGACCAUUUUUUAGCGAGACCAGUGCCUGUGAUAAAGACAAGUCUGAGUCUGAACGCCAAUAAGAGCCGGCUGGUGGCUGUAGGCUUUCUGCUGUACAGAACUGGUGGAGUGCGAAUCCUGAGGUGGGCCAGGAUACGGUGGAACAGAGAUGCUCUCUAUGGCCAAAUAUCUUCUCAAAGAGAAGAAAAAAAAAAAGGUCUGAUAUUCAUGACAGUCAUUUAGCAUUCUGCUUGCUGACAAAAAUAACUCAGUCUAGAACUCUGCAAUUUACAAAGGUGUGUGCUGGACAUAUACUGUACCUGUGGUGUUGAGGGCCAGGAGACUGCUGGUGAUUAUAGGGACCACUCUAUAUCCCAAAGAUACAUAGAUAUAUAGAUAGAUAGAGAAAAAGAGAGCAUGGUUAGAGAAGCAUUGCAGGUGUCUUGGAGGAAAACAGAUGAAUGUUUGUGUGGGAAUCCUGUAAGCUCCCUUCACAGGGCGUUACCUGUACAGUGCUUAGGUGUGUGCGAGGAGCUGGCUGAGGAGCGUGGGCUUUCUGCUGUGCAUAACUGGAGGACUCCAGCGGUGGUCCAGUAUAUGGUGGUGCAGAGCUAUUCGCCAUGCGCAAAGACCUGGACAAGAGAAAAUACGAGCGCCGUUAUAUGUUAGCUAAAUAAUUUCUAUCUUUCCGAAUUUUUCUCUUUUUACCGUGAGCAGCCUCUCGCUUAGACCUUAACACAGACCUUCUGAUUCUACAGUAGUACUUGAUAUUCAAAGUAAUAAACACUGUCGAACACACGCGUGUGCAUGUAUUAACCGUGAAACCUUCUAAAUGAUCAUUUAAAUGCAAUAUGGAUUUUUUUGGUGCCAUUUUACAGUCAUUUUAUUUCUAUUCAUUUUAGAAUAAGUUGAGAGCCUUUUACAGUACGAAGAGUAAAGGCUUUUUUUUAAAAUCUGUCAUCUUGUUUGUUGUUGUUGUUGUUGACAUCUUCAGGACAGAGGCGUUUACGCUUUGAGGUUUC